AUGAACGCUGGCGGCAUGCCUAACACAUGCAAGUCGAACGAGAUCUUCGGAUCUAGUGGCGCACGGGUGCGUAACGCGUGGGAAUCUACCCUUGGGUUCGGAAUAACAGCGAGAAAUUGCUGCUAAUACCGGAUGAUGACGUAAGUCCAAAGAUUUAUCGCCCAGGGAUGAGCCCGCGUAGGAUUAGGUAGUUGGUGUGGUAAAGGCGCACCAAGCCUACGAUCCUUAGCUGGUCUGAGAGGAUGAUCAGCCACACUGGGACUGAGACACGGCCCAGACUCCUACGGGAGGCAGCAGUGGGGAAUAUUGGACAAUGGGCGAAAGCCUGAUCCAGCAAUGCCGCGUGAGUGAUGAAGGCCUUAGGGUUGUAAAGCUCUUUUACCCGGGAUGAUAAUGACAGUACCGGGAGAAUAAGCUCCGGCUAACUCCGU
rnacentral:rRNA from 1 species